rnacentral:rRNA from 1 species
GCCUAACACAUGCAAGUCGAGCGGUAGAGAGAAGCUUGCUUCUCUUGAGAGCGGCGGACGGGUGAGUAAUACCUAGGAAUCUGCCUGAUAGUGGGGGAUAACGUUCGGAAACGGACGCUAAUACCGCAUACGUCCUACGGGAGAAAGCAGGGGACCUUCGGGCCUUGCGCUAUCAGAUGAGCCUAGGUCGGAUUAGCUAGUUGGUGAGGUAAUGGCUCACCAAGGCUACGAUCCGUAACUGGUCUGAGAGGAUGAUCAGUCACACUGGAACUGAGACACGGUCCAGACUCCUACGGGAGGCAGCAGUGGGGAAUAUUGGACAAUGGGCGAAAGCCUGAUCCAGCCAUGCCGCGUGUGUGAAGAAGGUCUUCGGAUUGUAAAGCACUUUAAGUUGGGAGGAAGGGCAGUUACCUAAUACGUGAUUGUCUUGACGUUACCGACAGAAUAAGCACCGGCUAACUCUGUGCCAGCAGCCGCGGUAAUACAGAGGGUGCAAGCGUUAAUCGGAAUUACUGGGCGUAAAGCGCGCGUAGGUGGUUUGUUAAGUUGAAUGUGAAAUCCCCGGGCUCAACCUGGGAACUGCAUCCAAAACUGGCAAGCUAGAGUAUGGUAGAGGGUAGUGGAAUUUCCUGUGUAGCGGUGAAAUGCGUAGAUAUAGGAAGGAACACCAGCGGCGAAGGCGACUACCUGGACUGAUACUGACACUGAGGUGCGAAAG